rnacentral:rRNA from 1 species
UGAGGAAUAUUGGACAAUGGAGGCAACUCUGAUCCAGCCAUGCCGCGUGAAGGACUAAGGCCCUAUGGGUCGUAAACUUCUUUUGACGGGGAGCAAUAAGGUCUACGUGUAGGCCGAUGAGAGUACUCGUCGAAUAAGCAUCGGCUAACUCCGUGCCAGCAGCCGCGGUAAUACGGAGGAUGCGAGCGUUAUCCGGAAUUAUUGGGUUUAAAGGGUGCGUAGGCUGUUUGUUAAGUCAGGGGUGAAAUACCGCAGCUCAACUGUGGAAUUGCCUUUGAUACUAGCAGGCUUGAAUACUGUUGCCGUGGGAGGAAUGAGUAGUGUAGCGGUGAAAUGCAUAGAUAUUACUCAGAACACCGAUUG